ACGGGUCUUGGACAAAAAAAAGAUAAGUGAAUUUGAAAAAACUGCGAGUACCGUAGCACGGACAUUUACUUUUUACUAUUGUGCGUUUUCUUUGGGCUUCACGCCUUUUUGAAACUUCCCACCAUCUUCGCGGGAUACAUGGCGCCAAAUCAAAGUUUUGCAUCAUCAAGUCUACCUAUAGCACAAUUGAUCAAACUAAAGAGACAAACUUGAAAUCAAGAAUAAGAAUAUCAGGUGAGGGACUACUACUUUUAUAUUUGAGGAAGAAACACGAGGCAUUGUUUUUCUGGUGUCAAACUAUUGAGUUGUUUAAGUGGAAAUGAAGUUGUUUUUUUGCUUAAGUGCCGGCUCCAGAUUGGCCGUCAGUUGCUGCAGGGCAAUGGUGAAAAGUUAUUGAAUUGUUAUAUCAGUGUCUAUUUGUUCAUGGAGUAUUGAGUUGAAGUGUAUGCAGCAGGUCCUGGUUGGUUCUUAAUUGUUAAUAAGUGAAUUGGAUACAGAGCCGGCUCAAUUAUAUUUGGGACCUUAGUUAAAUAGUUUUAAUUAGUUCUUC
rnacentral:lncRNA from 1 species